AUGGUCAUCUUAUCAUUAUCAUAUUAUGGUCAUCUUAUCAUUAUCAUAUUAUGGUCAUCUUAUCAUUAUCAUAUUAUGGUCAUCUUAUCAUCACCAUAUUACGGUCAUCUUAUCAUUAUCAUAUUAUGGCCAUUUCCAAUGCCUAACUUAUCAUUUUUGAUUAUUAGUUUAUUGGUGUGGAGGGGGAGGGGGAGGUGCUGCCUCCUACUGGUUCUACUGGUCCUACUGGUCCUAAUGGUUCUACUGGUCCUACUGGUCCUACUGGUUCUACUGGUUUUACUGGUCCUACUGGUCCUACUGACCCUACUGGUCCUACUGGUUCUACUGGUUCUACUGAUCCUACUGGUCCUAAUGGUUCUACUGGUCCUACUGGUCCUACUGGUUCUACUGGUCCUACUGGUCCUAAUGGUCCUACUGGUCCUACUGGUCCUAAUGGUUCUACUGGUCCUACUGGUUCUACUGGUCCUAAUGGUUCAACUGGUCCUACUGGUCCUACUGGUCCUACUGACCCUUCUGGUCCUACUGGUCCUACUGGUUCUACUGGUCCUACUGGUCCUACUGGUCCUACUGACCCUACUGGUUCUACUGGUCCUACCUGGUCCGGUGGUGCUGCCGGGUCGAGAGGCGGGGCCUGGUCGGGAGGCGGGGCCUGGUCGGGAGGCGGGGCCGGGGGGGCCGGUCCCGGAGGUCCGGGGACCCAGGGGCUGUUUGGGGGGCCUGGGUUUACAGCGGGGGGCCGGGUCUGGAGGCGGACCGCCGGAAGGGUCCAGGAGAGGAGGAUCUGCUGGAGAGAGACCCCCAGACCAUCAGAGACCCUCAGACCCCCUCAGAGACCCUCAGAGACCCCAAGACCCCCUCAGAGACCCCCAGACCAUCAGAGACCCCCAGACCAUCAGAGACCCUCAGACCCCCUCAGAGACCCUCAGAGACCCCAAGACCCCCUCAGAGACCCCCAGACCAUCAGAGACCCCCAGACCAUCAGAGACCCCCAGACCAUCAGAGACCCUCAGACCCCCUCAGAGACCCCCAGACCCCCUCAGAGACCCCAAGACCCCCUCAGAGACCCCCAGACCAUCGGAGACCCCCAGACCAUCAGAGACCCCCAGACCAUCAGAGACCCUCAGACCCCCUCAGAGACCCUCAGAGACCCCAAGACCCCCUCAGAGACCCCCAGAGACCCCCAGACCAUCAGAGACCCCCAGACCAUCAGAGACCCCCAGACCCCCAGACCCUCAGGGACCAUCAGGGACAGAACAAAUGAAGAUACUAUGA
rnacentral:lncRNA from 1 species